ACUCCAUUUUCUUUUUUUUUUUUUUUUCUUUUUUUUCCUCCUCCCUUCAUUGAACUGAACCAGUUCUCGUCAGACGUCUGUGGCGAAGGAUGGCAGCCCUGACGUUAUUUCAAGGGAGAAUGGAAACCAUUUUUUCUUCUCCUCCUCAUUUCCUGACUCUGCAGACAGCCAGCACCUGUUAGAGCACGGUGGCUCUGACACGCCGAGUCGUGACUUCGGUUUCAGUGCAGACUGUGGGGAGAAGUUUCUCUGCUAAAUCCGUGACGAGCUCAUCUGCAACUCCAGCCACCAAACACGAAACCGGUUUCCUUCGAAGAGUUUGUCCCGGAUCAAGAGUAAUGAAAAACAUAAGCUGAUUAAUAAGCUCGAUAAACCAAUCAACUUUCGCUUCAACUGAAUGACAUCUCCGCGAUGACGGCUUAAUUAUUUAUCUGGAUUCAGAUAGGGUUCACUGAUAAUACAUCGUAAUAGACAAUGAUCACCGUAGGCGUAGCCCAUGUCGUGCCAGUCAAUUAUUGCCCUUUAGAAAAAGGUCAUCUUGAAGGACAGAUUGUUGUGGGCCAGGACCGUCCACUAAACGAGUUUGGCUUAAAUGUUUGUGAUUUCCUCCACGGUUUUAAUGUUUGUUUGUUUUUUCCCACCAAGGAGAAGUAAGCGGAAACGGGAUAUUUCUACAGUUCUAAAGCGGAUGGCUAAUUUUGCUAGGCCCCGUCUGUCUCUCAUACCCCGGAUUAUUGAAUCCAACUCUUGAUAAUCGUUUUAGCGCCGUUUUCAAUACUUUAAGACGGAUGUGGAAGCUCGACUAAUGCGGGCAGAUCUGGGGGAUGAUUUGAUAGGAUAGCCAACAGUCGUUACACAGUCCUAAUUACUGUUGCUAAACCGUUUUACCAAUUAGAAAUGAUCCGCUUUUUUUCUUCUUCUUUUUUUCAAUUAUUAUUCGGCUCCGGCGGCGAGUCUCACCGUUUGGGAACACGGUGCUGUGCUAGAGAGCCGAUCACGACUCACAUGUCUCCUGGGCCGCCCCUCUGUCUGCCUGCCUGUCUCUCCCAGCUAUUUAUUUAUUUAUUUAUUUAUUUAUUUAUUUAUUUAUUCAUUCCCCCCCCCCUUUUCAAAGACGUGAGACACGGGUCGGCACGCUUUCCGCAAGUUUAAUUUAAGAGCUUAAUGAAAGCUGGAGGUACACAAGCCUCAUUCUUUGAGGCGGUGGGGAGGAAGAAUCCGAGCAGUUGUAGACGCACCGCCAAUGGCGAACUCUUGGGAGCGACUUUUCUGCGCAGAUUUCAAUCAGCUCGUGUCACUACAGAGCUAAUGUUACCAUGCCCGCAGUUAGGCUUAGCGAGAGUCCGUCCUGUGUUUGUUGUUGUUGUGUGUGUGUGGGGGGGGGGAAGUGACGCCCCAUUAGCUAAAAGUGUCCACUGAAAGCAACAGGUUUAUCUGUGGCGAGCUUCAGUAGCCGGAGAGGGAACUACGGCCCGCCUUUUGAACUGCCCUCACUUAUUUCCGGCUAAGAGUUUGUUUGUGUUUUUCAGCACGUGAACUGCGAGGAGCGGUCGGUCGACAGUCUGAAAGAGGCCCGUUAUUUCGUCCCUACAUAGACAUGUCUGUCUAAAUCGGCUGUAGUUUCAGUAGCCUGAACACUUUUCUGAGCUUUAACAAACGCGGGGAGAGAUCAGCGGGGACGGUCCCUGCGCAGGACAGCACGCCGCGGCAGGCCGGUGGGGGGAGGGGCUCUCCAUUCAAACUCUGCCUGUCAACCAGGCUCCCUUCUUGCCCACAACUCCGCUUCUGAGAAAACUGACUAUUACAGUUUCCGAUUUGUGUUUGGCGUUGUUUUGAAACUCGCUUACCUGGAAUCACGUAAACCAAAAGCCAUAAGAGCAUUUUUGGAGUUAUUUAUUUAUUUUUUACUAUUAUUAGUAUUUUACACCGGAUGUUUCAUUUCACAGCUGGAGAUUGAUUCGCAUCCGCCUCUGGGACGUUUUGUGCCCUCUUUGACCAUCGAUGAUUUAGCGCUAUUUUCCACAAUUAACUUAGCUUGAACGGAAAUUUGAUUAUGUGAUUCCAAUAAACAUUACUCACCAGCAGCAGGUUGCUUAGAGUUAUAUUAAUAUAGAGUUAUAUUACUGAAUCAGAACCAUAAUAAAUGCAAAUUGCAUGGAAUAUUAAAGCUUUGUAAAGUAUCGUAUGCUGAAAUUUAAAUAUACAUAAAGUUAGAACAUUUUAGGAUGAUGACUAUAAGUUUUGAAAUUACUGAUAGAAAGAGAAUGGUUUAAGUUCUUGGGAACAAAACGAGUUGCUUACAGGCAUAAAAUGGAAGAAGGCAGAGACCGAAUUUGCGCCAAAGCGGGGUACGACUUGUUGAAGAGGGUGACUUUACCCAGAGCUGUUUUAUUUAAUAAUGUUGCUGAGGCAAAAUUUAAUUAAUAGAAUUAAUAAACAGACAACUGUUCAAAACCAGUUCCUUCAUUCGUUGAAUUCAUGGGUACAAGAAAUGCAACAGUCGGAAUCGGACAAAUUCCUUGAUCGGCUCUCAUUCAUGACCUUCCAGUGCUGCAAAAUCCCAAGUUUUUUCUCCCCCUUUUAUUAAGUGUAUCUAAACUAACAACUUCCACUACGUUGGAAUAAGAUUAGAUACAUUAAUGUAUCUCAUGUUGAUACAUCAAUGUAUCUACAGCUUCUUUAAUGUAGAUACAUUGAUUCUGCUGUGUUCAUUUUCUUGUUGGAUUCUAAGCUAUUGCCUCUAUCACAGUCCUACAGCACAUCAUGUUUAUUUUUAAUGCUCCUCAGCCCUUAAAAGUAAACAUGAUCUGCGUCUCGGAUCUCUUAAGACCACUGGAACUCGGUAUCAAUUAGUUAGGCUGGGUGCUAUUGGUGGCUUCACAAAUUUUAUACGAACAUAUUCAUGUUUGGAUGACUCCAAAUUUAUGUGUUUUUUUUUUUUUGUUUUUUUUUUUGGGAAGUAAACAAAAGUUGACCUGGUGAGAUCUGAUUGGCUGGCUUGCCUGAAAAGCUAAUACAUGAGGAGAAAAACAUUUGUUUUUGCAAAUUCCCUUCACCUUUUCACAACAGGCAGCGAGUGGCACAGUGUUGGAGAGAGAAAUAGCUGUCGCUCUCCACGUGCGUGGCAUGUCAGCAUGUCUACAGUUACUUCCUGACAGAGAGCUUCUGAUGAGAUCGUAUCGCUCAAAAACAUGCCGGCCUGUUGCGUUCAGACACGUGCGGGACGAAUAUCGGAGCCAAGCAGAGAGCUGGAGCGGGGUAGGGCCCAGUGAGCCUGCUCAUUCCCCUGCUGUCUGUUUGGAAGAGAUUAUUGUUCAAGAGGUGGAGGCCGUUGACUCGCCAAACCGGUUGAUGUGGACGAGAACCUGGAAGUGGGGGGAAGAGUUUCAGAAGGCGCAAGUGGGGAAGAGGAAACAACAUGAACUCUGGUACAGAAAGAGUGUAAGGGUGUAGAGCGUGCUGGGUUUUUUUUUUCCUCACAUCUUGACAAGGUCAAGUUUAGGCAACACAACAAGCUGACCUUUUCUAAGCAUUGCUUGAAAGACACAACAACGUUUGAUCAGGGGUUCUGUUGAGACUUGACAGUUUUAGCUACCAAGCAAGAUAAACUGAACCUUUACAGGGAUGAUUGAACGAAAAGACUCCUACCAAGCAGCCAACAGUGGAUGCACACUGUAACAGUAAUGUAUAUCCACCCCGACCCCCCCUCAAUGAACCUUAAUGAAACUCUGCCAACAAGGGAAACUAAUAAGAUUCAGUCCACUACAGGAACAUAAAUAAAGGAGCUCUUUGUUUAUUGAGGUGAGGACAGCGUGUUUUAUCCAGGAACCUGUUGGAAGCGACACGUUGGGGGUGGAAAGGGGGUGUCCACAUGAGAGCGAGCGGUGGCGCCUGACAGUGACUCAACCCGUCGCACUGGAAGCACGACUCUGCAGCCUUUAUGUAAUUGGAGUAAUGUUUGAAUCGGGCUGGAAGUGUGGAGAGACUCCUUUCACCGCCAACUUUGGAAUGAGGAGAGUUUUAGCUAAUUAAACGUGUAUUAUUUCUCAAACUUCAUGCUAGGUUGAGCUUAUUUAAAAGAAAAAAUUGAAAACUAAGUCUGAGGAGCUUCAGCUGUUAAAUGCUUCGCUAUGUCCAUAAAACAACAAAGGGUUUUAAGAGCUACAGUCCGGAUUAAUGAAGUAGUUGCUGACUGCACUUACACAAUAUAUCAAAUCGGAAUUAUCAUUGUCAUAACAACUAGGCCCUGUCACAAUAACAGAUUUUACUGGAUGACAAUUUUGCCCCAGAAAUGAUUGCGAUAAGCCAUAAUAUUGUCAUUUUUGGACCAUCCUCAACUUGUAUGAUAAUAAUCACAAUGGAUUCCUAAUGCAAGUACUCCCUCUCAAAGAUGAAAUCUUGGAUUUCUAAAGAAAACAUUUUACAACGCACCUGGAAAACAGUUUAAAAACCCCUAAUAAACAAAUAAAACAUGCAACACAACAGUAAUUAUAAGGGAUUAUGAAGUCUCAAUAGCUAAAAUUGCUCUCAAAAGAUAGUAAUCAUUCAGCUCAAGACAGGGAAAACGGACAAAGAGGCAGGUAGUGCAAACCAACUACUUCGUCCUGAGGGUCAUAUAUUUGCAGCGUUUCUCAAAAUGGCGGCUUUUCAACGAUAUUAAACGGGAGCGUCUCUUUAUCGACUGUUUAUCGCGCUCACUUGAAUCUAUCGUGCGAUUAAUUGAUUUAUUGUGACAGGCUUAAAAACAAUUUCCGAUGCCUAUAGCAAUGUGUGAUGCCAAUGUUUGCCUAUUGCACUUUUUAAAGCCAUGUUUUCAUUAUUUUACAUGCCAAAAGUAUAUGAAUUGGCCAGUUGUAAUAACCUUUACUCUAGGUUAUAGAUUCAGUAAUGGUGGCGAGAAAAAAAAAAAGGAUUUAUUUCAAUCAGAAUUGCAUGUUUU